rnacentral:RNase_P_RNA from 1 species
GCGAGCCAGUGGGCGGGUCACUCGAAAGAGAGGAAACUCCUCCCUCAUUGCAGGCACCCGAAUUAGCGAUAAUUAGCCGGAGACGGCUGGCUACGGAACAGACAAGAGAUCCAGUCAGGGCGCACGGUGAUGGCGAAUAGCCUGAGGUUCCUGAUACUGGAAUGAAACUGCCGACCCGGGUGGAGCAAGGCCAAACAGAGCGCAAGUCCCUGCUACAGCUCAGGUUGGCUGCUCAGCGGAAUCCCGCUUAGAACAGAAGGAGGGUUACUGCUGGCACGC